rnacentral:rRNA from 1 species
AACGAACGCUGGCGGCAUGCCUAACACAUGCAAGUCGAACGAGAUCUUCGGGUCUAGUGGCGCACGGGUGCGUAACGCGUGGGAAUCUGCCCUUUGGUUCGGAAUAACAGUUGGAAACGACUGCUAAUACCGGAAGAUGACGAACGUCCAAAGAUUUAUCGCCAGCGGAUGAGCCAGCGUAGGAUUAGCUAGUUGGUGUGGUAAAGGGGCACCAAGGCGACCAUCCUUAGCUGGUCCGAGAGGAGGAGCGGCCACAGUGGGACGGAGACAAGGUCCAGACUACUGCGGGAGGCAGCAGUGGAGAAGAUUGGACCAUGGGCGAAAUCCUGAUCCAGCAAUGCCGGGUGAGAGAUGAAGGCCGUAGGGUUGUAAAGCUCUUUUACCCGGGAUGAUAAUGACAGUACCGGGAAAGUAAGCUCCGGCUAACUCCGUGCCAGCAGACGCGGUAA